UGGGGAAUAUUGGACAAUGGGCGAAAGCCUGAUCCAGCCAUGCCGCGUGUGUGAAGAAGGUCUUCGGAUUGUACAGCACUUUAAGUUGGGAGGAAGGGCAGUAAGCGAAUACCUUGCUUUUUUGACGUUACCGACAGAAUAAGCACCGGCUAACUCUGUGCCAGCAGCCGCGGUAAUACAGAGGGUGCAAGCGUUAAUCGGAAUUACUGGGCGUAAAGCGCGCGUAGGUGGUUCGUUAAGUUGAAUGUGUAAGCCCCGGGCUCAACCUGGGAACUGCAGCCAAAACUAGCGGGCUAGAGUAGGGGAGAGGGUGGUGGAAUUUCCUGUGUAGCGGUGAAAUGCGUAGAUAUAGGAAGGAACACCAGUGGCGAAGGCGACCACCUGGGCUCAUACUGACACUGAGGUGCGAAAGCGUGGGGAGCAAACAGG
rnacentral:rRNA from 1 species